CAGUAGCCACGGGAAUACGAAGGGGGCUAGCGUUGCUCGGAAUGACUGGGCGUAAAGGGCGCGUAGGCGGCUCAUACAGUCAGGCGUGAAAGUCCUGGGCUCAACCUGGGGUGGUCGCUUGAGACGUGUGGGCUAGAGUGGGGAAGAGGGUCGUGGAAUUCCCAGUGUAGAGGUGAAAUUCGUAGAUAUUGGGAAGAACACCAGUGGCGAAGGCGACUCUCUGGUCUGUAACUGACGCUGAGGAGCGAAAGCGUGGGGAGCGAACAGGAUUAGAUACCCCCGUAGUCCCUGUCUCUUAUAC
rnacentral:rRNA from 1 species